rnacentral:tRNA from 1 species
UGUUUUCUUGCAAAAUGGCGAUGUUGUGGAAGUGGAGAUUCCAGGCGUGGGUCGCGUGCGCAAUCCUGUUCAAAGCGAAAAAUGAACAA